UACGUAGGGGGCAAGCGUUGUCCGGAUUUAUUGGGCGUAAAGAGCGUGUAGGCGGCCAGGUAGGUCUGCUGUGAAAACUCGAGGCUCAACCUCGAGCUGUCGGCGGAAACCAUCUGGCUAGAGUCCGGAAGAGGAGAAUGGAAUUCCCGGUGUAGCGGUGAAAUGCGCAGAUAUCGGGAAGAACACCCGUGGCGAAGGCGGUUCUCUGGGACGGUACUGACGCUGAGACGCGAAAGCGUGGGGAGCGAACAGG
rnacentral:rRNA from 1 species